CUGUUCCUUCCAACAGAUGGAGAGACUGAAAUCUCCCAAAUUGUUUUCUCUUGAAAAAAAAAGAACAGUUAGGGGGGAUCUGAUUGACCUGUUCAAGAUUGUA